rnacentral:lncRNA from 1 species
CUACGUUCUCGGGGUUUUGGAGUGUGGACAUAGAAGAGGACUCUGGUAGCCCUCUUCGAUUAACAUCCGUCGCAUCAGAUCCGCAACCGAUCCGUGGCGUAAGGCGUACGCGUGGGAGAAGGCGAGAAACGUGGGAGAUCCAGAAGCAUCGAGACAAGGACGAUCCAAGAAGGCUUGUAAAACAAGUAAUCCGAUCCGAUUCGAGCUCCCGGAUACGUUGGCUAUCCGGUUUGUAAGUUUUCGCUGCCUAUUAUUUCCAACAAGUAGAAUUAAAUUUGAAUAAAGAAUUUUACGCAGCUAAUUUUACGUUAGAAUUCAUGGAAAUGCAUGACCUAACCAAGGGAUGAAAAAUCGGUUGAGUUUGGCAAUUUUUAUAAACGGUUCAAAAGAUUAUUUACACUGUCAUAACUUUUCGUUCUGGUGUCUAUCUUUAGCAUGUAACCCAAUAUAAAAAUAUACUUUUUGAGAUCUACGCGUUCAACCAUAAAGUCGUUCUGACCGAGUUUGCGACUCAAAUUUAAUUGUUUAGGCCUCCGAAUUUACACUUUCAAGUUAUUUUUAAAACGUUUUAUAUAUUUCAUAUUUUGAAUCCAAUUAUUUAAAUAAUUUUGAUUGGUUUAGAUUUAAAGAUAUUUAAAAUUUGAACAUAAUUCAAAAGUUAAAAUAAAUUUAAACUUAAAAAAAUCUAAAAAAAAUAAAGUAAAGAUCAAAUAUUAUCUUUUACAUAGAUUAUUCAUUUUUUGCGACUUCAAAAUUUUUAAACCGAAGUUAAAAGAGUUAAAUAUAGUAAUAACUCACUUUUCAACCACUUUUGCAAAGUAAUGAACUUUUACAUUCACUUACGAAACCAAACAUAAGAAAAGACACUGCUUUUUAAAAGUAUUACUAUUAUUAUUAUUAUUAUUAUUAUUAUUAUUAUUAUUAUUAUUAUUAUUAAUGCUUUACUUACUACCAACCAAAUACAAACUUACUUGGUCCCACUUUAGAAUUUUGAAUUCUCAAAAAUCUUAAAAAAAAAAAACAAAACAACAGUCCAAUUGGCUUUUCACGUCAGUCCUUAGGCUUAACAUCACUCAUAAAGCCAAAAAAAUACAAAAAAACCAAAAAGCAAACACACACACACACACGCACGCAACAAUAUUAAAGAUUUUCAAAAUCUAAUACGGCAUUUUAACAUCUGCAAUUGGCUAAGAAUUUGAUAGUUGGUAUUCGAGAUCUUAAAUUUAUAAUUUAAUUAUUUUAUAUUUUUAGCCAAAUUUAUUUUUAAAAGAUAAAUAAAAUUCGUAGCUGUUAUGUUUUUUAAAAAAAUUUUAGGGUCUUGCGUUGACUAGACUACUCUCAAUUAGGGAUGUCAAUGAAUACGGAUAUCCAAAAUUUUAUCCGAAUGCUAAUUCAAAUGGAGCGGAUUUCUCUGAUGCUAAACGGAUAUGGUUUCGAAUAUGCAUAUCAAGAACAAAGAUCUGAUGGAUAUGAAUUCGGAUAUGGAUUUUAACUGCACUCGAUCCGAAUCUGAAUUUAUUUUAUAUUAUAUGUAAUAUGUAUAUAAAACUUUGAUGUUAUAUUUGAAUUUAUAUUUUAAAAAAUUAGAUUUAAUGUAAUAUAUUUUGCAAUAUUGAAAAGAGAAAUAAUUUUUUCAGGUUCGGAUUCGGCUUCGGGUUUUAGAUUUUGGUCGGAUUCGGCUUUGGAUAUGAAUUUUUAAAAUCCGUCGAGUUCGGAUUUGGAUUCGGGCUUCGGAUUUAAAGUCGGGUUCAUGUUCGGGUGUUUAAGUCUGCCCGGAAUCCGACCCGUUGACAUCUCUACUCUCAAUGGCCCGGAAAUUAAGAAGAAUCUAUUUUUUGUCAUUUUUUGGAUGGGCAUAUUGGCCCAAUGGAUGUACUGGCCCAACCCCAUCCCUAGAUAAAUUAAUUAUUUAACUUUGUUUCAUACAAUUGAAAGGAAAAUCUGAUUCUUUAGGGCCCCACAUCUAGGAGAAUCUUUAGCAGCUAUGUUUUUUUUUUUU